CACGCAACGUCUCUGCGCAGGCGCGGGGCGCCAGCUUCUGGUAUUUUCGACACGUCUGCUGCUCCUCUGUUCCCCUCCUUUUUGGACGUUGGACGUCGGAGGUCGAGGUUGUGUGUCUGUCAUUCAGAAGAAGCAGCGAAAAGCCUCUCUCCGUCCUUAACUUCAGAAGGAAGUUGUCCGUUGGGCCUUUCUCUUCUUGAGUGAGGCGUCGACGGCCCGUGGUGGGUUUUCUGGUGACGGGGUGGCCCUGCGGUCGGUUACGUCAAGGCGAGCGUAGCCGGGGCCCGGACGGGGACGGUGGAGGGCGAGAAGGCCGGCAGCAGGCGGCGCCACAGCCCGGAGUUCCGGAGGCCGGGCGGCUCGUUUCUUUCUCGGCCCGAGGCUGCCCGCGCGGCUCACUUCGGGACUUCACUUCUGUUUUGUUUCCUCUUGUUUGUUUUUAGGAACUGAGUUUUCGGGCAGGGGUCGUCGAAGAAAAGGAAGCCCGGAAGCUGCCGUCCGAGAUGUCCAGCUACGUGAACGCCCUGUGGCCGGGCUCGCCGCACAAGGCCUCCCCCUCGUCGUCGCGGUCGGGCCCGUCCAGCCGGCUGUCCUCGGCGUCCGGGAGCCGCUCGCCCAGGAGCUCUCCGUCCCGAUCCAUAGUCUCAAGUCGGUCGUGGUCGCGGAGCCGCAGCCGCAGCCGCAGCCGCAGCGCGCCCUGGCGGAGGAGCAGGUCGAGGUCUCGCUCCCGAAGGCGCCACCGGAGGAGGUACCGGCGCUACUCGCGCUCGUACUCGCGGAGCCGCUCGCGCCCCCGCAGCCGCCGGUACCGGGAGAGGCACCACGGCUCCUCCAGGAGGUCCUACCGGUCCCUCAGCCGCCCCCGCUCUCGCGGCCGCUCGCAUUACCGGAGGGCCUACGCCUUCGCGCGGGACCGCCGUUACUACGGCUUCGGCUGCACCGUCUACCCGGAGGAGCGCAGAGGCUGGAGAGGGCGAUCCCGGACCAGGUCGCGGAGCCCAACCCCAUUUCGGCUGAGUGAGAAGGAUCGAAUGGAGCUGUUAGAAAUAGCAAAAGCCAAUGCCGCAAAAGCAUUAGGAACAGCCAACUUUGACUUGCCAGCUAGUCUCAGAACUGUUUCUGUAUCUAAAGAAACCAACCGUGGAACAGCUGUACUGAAUAAUAGUGCAAAGUCUGAGGUAAGUAUUUCAGAUUUAGCCAAACAAAGUCUUCAGAAAACUACUACCAGAAAGAUCUGAUUAGCCAUUUUUAUUUGAUUUGCCUUAGACUGCUUCCUGGAAAGGCUAGCUAAAUAUAAUUUAAAAUAACAGAUCUGACAAUAGUAGAUAGUCUCCCCCCGUGAAAAUGGGAGACUAAUGAACUUUAUUUUCAGUUGGCACAGUACUAGUUACUUUCAUAAUUGUAGCUGGUACUUUGGUGAUUUCUAUGUAGUUACCAAGUUUUUCUAGCUAGUUUUUUACGGAGUAUUUAUCUGUAGCGCUCAUUGGCAGCAUUAUGUUCCCACAAAUUCUGUACUCAACAUACAGUAUAGUUUAUCUGCUUUAUUUCUGUCUUAUAGAAAUCAUGAAUGUGGUCUCCAGACAUUGAUGAAGAAAAUCUGUUGGUAAUUGAUACAUGGGCAAAAGCAUCAGAGGUUUAACUAAUUUGAAGUUUAUGUUGACACACUGAAAACUUAGCUUUUUGUUGGUAGAUCCCUGUGCAUGCUAGAAUUUGGGACAGAUGUUUUGAGAGAUUACAGAAGAAGAGGCCUGCUUCACUUGCAGAUAAGUUUAUUACAAUUCUCCAGAAAUGUGCAGCAUAAAAUUCAUAGCUUAAAGGUUUAAGGUAGUUAGGAAUUGAUAACACUCAGUUAACAUAGGAAAGAUGGGUUACCUGUCAUUCAGACCCAGAUGUGGGUUUGCCUAAGUAUUAGUGGUGGACAAAAAAGAUCUUCGUUCAUUCACUUUUUCAGACGGUUAGGUGCCCAACUGGAUGGGCAAAUGCCUUAUUCUUUGAAACUAGGUGUUUUCUGGUAUGACUUGACUUUCAAAGUUACUUGAAUUUGCAUCAGGGGGAUAUAAUACUGCUUUAUGGGGAAGAGUGUCUUAAGCCUAUCAUUGAAUCAAUUUUGUUAUGGGGAAAACUCAACAGAGUACUGUGUUGUUUAUUUUAGGAUGUUAACUAUUUGGUUACAUCCAACUUGAUUUGUGUCUCUACAAGUGAAUUUGUAAUACAAUUGGGCUGCUUUUUAUACCUACAAGGGUAUGGUUAUUUUAAGUUUACUUUCUCUUACCUGUUUAGCUGUCGGAUAAGUUAACAGAAGAUGAAACAGAAAAUCCCAACGAGAAGUCGUCCCAGCAAAAAAGCAUAGCUUUUAGCUCUA